CCUACGGGAGGCAGCAGUGGGGAAUAUUGCGCAAUGGGCGAAAGCCUGACGCAGCGACGCCGCGUGAGGGAUGAAGGUCUUCGGAUCGUAAACCUCUGUCAGCAGGGAAGAACGGUCACUGUGCUAAUCAGCAGUGAAUUGACGGUACCUGCAAAGGAAGCACCGGCUAACUCCGUGCCAGCAGCCGCGGUAAUACGGCGGGUGCGAGCGUUAAUCGGAAUUACUGGGCGUAAAGCGCUCGUAGGCGGUAUGUCAAGUCAAGGGUGAAAUCCCCGCGCUCAACGGGGGAAUUGCCGUUGAAACUGGCAAACUGGAGUGUGUGAGAGGAGAGUGGAAUUCCAGGUGUAGGAGUGAAAUCCGUAGAUAUCGGGAGGAACAUCAGUGGCGAAGGCGACUAUCUGGAACAUAACUGACGCUGAGGAGCGAAAGCGUGGGUAGCAAACAGGAUUAGAUACCCUUGUAGUC
rnacentral:rRNA from 1 species